GCACCGGUAGCGCAAUGGUUAGCGCGCCUCUACAAAAUGACUGAGACUUGAGUUCAACUCCCAGCCGAGGUU